GAAGAAGCAAAGUGAUGAGUAACACUUGCAUGAGCCGAAGUGAGCGAGCUGUGUGCGUGUGCAGUUGUGUGAUGGUCGGUUGUGAGAAUUGUGUGCCUUAUAAUCAGGCAAUGAUAGCUAAACUGAUAAGAUCUGAUUGCUUC
rfam:Buceros rhinoceros silvestris contig1176, whole genome shotgun sequence.